AAUGUAUGGGAAUUUAUUCUCAUGCCAAAAUGAGGCAGUGUUCGUCUUUCAUAGGAGUGAGAGAGAGAAGUAGGGAAAAACAGAUUUGAUUAGGUGUGCUCUCUGGAGAAAAAUGUAAUUUUCUGUUUCCCCUGUAAAGAUUACAGAUAAUAGACUGUCACUCAGUUUACAUUGUCUCUUGAGAUCCUAGAAGAUUUCCCAUCUUCCUGUUCUGGAGUAUUUAAAAGAAAAGAGAAGUUAUUUUGGGGAAAUGUGCAAUUGAUGGCUAUCCUGUAAACACUUUGAGCUUUUUGUCUGAGGAAGCUGACAGCCAGGGCUGUUCCCACAAAGCAAGCACCAGAACUGCAGAAUGUCGGCAAGAAUAACUUUAGCAAAAAAAUGGAAAACAGAGCAAACCCCGCAGAUUGAUCACUGGUUGGAGAAACUGGAAGAAAUAAAGAAUAUGGACAAACUGACUGUGUAUAUGAAAGAAAUUAGAGUAGUGUGCGGAAGAUGAGGAAGUACUCCAUCAAGGACUCGGUGUCACAGUGGAUGAUGAAGCAGCAGCUCCCCCUGUAGCUGGAAUCGAGCAUACCCUCAUGAAGCCAGAAGCUGGAAUGUUAAAUUGUCUCUGUGUCUGUCUAUAUGUGGUUGUCUAUAUACAUGUUGUUUGUCUAAUGGCAUUGAAUGUUUGCCAUGUAUAUGUACAUUGUGAUCCACCCUGAGUCCCCUUCGGGGUGAGAAGGGUGAAAUAUAAAUACUGCAAACAAAUAAAUAAAUAAAAUUGAGGCCUCUGAAAUACACCACAAAUGUAACUACCUUGUCACAUGUGCCACUGAAGAUGUCCUGGAUUGCCGCAUCCUGCCAGCAGUCGCACAGAUGGUGUGGGAACUUGUUGCUCCAAGCCCCAUUCCAUCGUGGCUUCCCCCCUUCCACAUCACAUGGGGGAAGCUCUUUUUUGGUGGUUCAACCCAUCUUUCCUCAUGGAAAGAAGGUAAACCCAUCGUUGUCUACGGUCACCAUUUUUUGUUGUUGUUGCAAUGGCAGCACUUCAGCCAUGUAGCCGCCCUGGAAGUAGUUAUCCAGUGUGUGAUGGGAGCCAAGCUGGAGAAAAUAAGGUACGUGUAAAGAGGUCCUU